rnacentral:lncRNA from 1 species
UUUUCUUUCAUGAUUACCCCCAGAAGAGGAAGAGUGUUUUAAACGGCUCGAGAAUGUGGUCAGAGGGUCAUCAUCCAGAUGCCAAAUAUGCAAAGGUUAAGAGAGGAGUCAGGGACCUUUUGCAUAUUUAUGUUUCCAUGCAGGGAAAUUCCGAGGUCAUUUUUCACCUUUUCCAUGACCUUUAUCUCUUUUUUUUUUUUUUUUGAACGGAGUCUUGCUCUGUCGCCAGGCUGGAGUGCAGUAGUGGAAUCUUGGCUCAUUGCAACCUCUGCCUCCUGGGUUCAAGCGAUUCCCCUGCCUUAGCCUCCCGAGUAGCUGGGAUUACAUGUGCAUGCCACCAUGCAUGGCUAACUUGUUGUAUUUUAGUAGAGAUGGGGUUUCACCAUGUUGGCCAGGAUGGCCUCAAUCCUCUGACCUCCUGAUCCACCCGCCUCAGCCUCCCAAAAUGCUGGGAUUACAGGUGUGAACCACCGUGCCCAGCCCAUGACCUUUAUCUUAAGCCAAUCUUAAUUAUCCCACAGUUUUCAUUUCCAGAUCUUCCAGAAGGGGUGCCUCUGGGUGGGAAAGAUGCAGGGUGUCGGCACUCUUAGGUUAGCACGUAGCAUGCUUGGUGAGUUGAACAGAUGAUUACCUGUGUUCUAGUGUGGAGAAGGAGAGAUGUUAAUACUCUCAGCCAGCUUCCAGACCACUUUUCCUUUGGGGUGUUUAUUCCUGUUUGCAACUUCUAUUUAAUGCCAUGUCUCUCAUUUCCAGGUGAAGCUCAUCCGGCUGGUUGGGAUUAUGCUGCUGUUAUAUGUCAAACAGGAGCAUGCAGCAUAUAUCUCAGAAGUGGAAGCUGAGACUGUGGGGACAGGAAUCAUGGGGAGGAUGGGCAACAAGGGAGGCGUGGCGAUCAGGUUCCAGUUCCACAACACCAGCAUCUGCGUUGUGAAUUCUCACUUGGCAGCCCACACUGAAGAGAAUGCGAGGAGGAACCAGGACUAUAAGGACAUUUGUUCUCGAAUGCAGUUUUAUCAGCUUGACCCAAGCCUUCCCCCUCUCACCAUCAGCAAGCACGAGUGAGUCUGGGCUUCCACCCCCAUACCAUUUACCAUGAAUGCAUAGAGUUAUGGGCUCUGUCUUUUGAUGGGGAGAUGCCUGGUGGUGGUUUCCCAUUGCUGCAAUGGUGGCAAGUGCCACCUCUUGGUUAUACAUGGAUUAUAUCUCUUGAAAAUUUUUACUUUCCUAACUUACCAUCUGGCAGAUCUCUACAGCCUUUCUCUCUUUUUAUUUUUAAAUUUUUAUUUGCAUGUCAUCCUUGCUCAGGGGCCAUGCUAAUCGUCUCUGUAUCAUUUC